AUUGAACGCUAGCGGCAUGCUUUACACAUGCAAGUCGAACGAGUGGCGGACGGGUGAGUAAUAUCUGGGAAAGUGCCCAGUGGCGGGGGAUAACUACUCGAAACGGUGGCUAAUACCGCAUACUAUCGGAUGUGCCCAGAUCGGAUUAGCUAGUUGGUGGGGUAACGGCUCACCAAGGCAACGAUCCCUAGCUGGUCUGAGAGGAUGACCAGCCACACUGGAACUGAGACACGGUCCAGACUCCUACGGGAGGCAGCAGUGGGGAAUAUUGGACAAUGGGGGAAACCCUGAUACAGCCAUCCCGCGUGUAUGAAGAAGGCCUUCGGGUUGUAAAGUACUUUUAGCGGGGAGGCGUUACCUGCAGAAUAAGCACCGGCUAACUCCGUGCCAGCAGCCGCGGUAAUAC
rnacentral:rRNA from 1 species